rnacentral:rRNA from 1 species
UACGGAGGAUGCGAGCGUUAUCCGGAUUUAUUGGGUUUAAAGGGUGCGUAGGCGGGCUUUUAAGUCAGCGGUAAAAAUUCGGGGCUCAACCCCGUCCGGCCGUUGAAACUGGGGGUCUUGAGUGGGCGAGAAGAAGGCGGAAUGCGUGGUGUAGCAGUGAAAUGCAUAGAUAUCACGCAGAACCCCGAUUGCGAAGGCAGCCUUCCGGCGCCCUACUGACGCUGAGGCACGAAAGUGCGGGGAUCGAACAGG